GUGGGGAAUAUUGGACAAUGGGCGAAAGCCUGAUCCAGCCAUGCCGCGUGUGUGAAGAAGGUCUUCGGAUUGUAAAGCACUUUAAGUUGGGAGGAAGGGCAGUAAGUUAAUACCUUGCUGUUUUGACGUUACCAACAGAAUAAGCACCGGCUAACUUCGUGCCAGCAGCCGCGGUAAUACGAAGGGUGCAAGCGUUAAUCGGAAUUACUGGGCGUAAAGCGCGCGUAGGUGGUAUUGUAAGUUGGAGGUGAAAUCCCCGGGCUCAACCUGGGAACUGCCUCCAAAACUGCAUGACUAGAGUACGGUAGAGGGUAGUGGAAUUUCCUGUGUAGCGGUGAAAUGCGUAGAUAUAGGAAGGAACACCAGUGGCGAAGGCGACUACCUGGACUGAUACUGACACUGAGGUGCGAAAGCGUGGGGAGCAAACAGGAUUAGAAACCCGAGUAGUCC
rnacentral:rRNA from 1 species